CGGGGUGUAGCGCAGCUUGGUAGCGCGCGUCGUUCGGGACGACGAGGUCGUCGGUUCAAAUCCGGCCACCCCGACAA
rnacentral:tRNA from 2 species